AGAGUCGGUGAAGGCUUUAAAGGAAGUAGGCAGCUGGAACCCGGCUGUGGCGGGUUGAAAAGCCCGGGCGUUUGAGAGCUGAGACUUGCCAGUUCCCACAGGCCAAGCCAGGCGUCUGCACCCCAUUCUCUUGGUUCCGACGGUGUGUCUCUGCGAUGUUUUGGCGGUCUCUCCUCUCCAUCCCCUUAAUAAUACUGGUCUCUGUUUCACCCGUACCCCUCUACACGAGCAGGUGCAAAUUGUCAUUGAACCGGGAAAGUGGGCACACACUCAGAUGCCUCCAUGGACACGUGAGAAACCAUGCUUCUGUUUCAGCCUAUUGCUGACACGCGGGAAUGUGGGCCCUGUGAUGCCAGAUCUUACUUUCUUUCCUUUCUUCCUCUCUUCUCCCCUCUCUACUUCCUUCCCUCUCUCCUUCCCUCCCGCCCUCCCUCCUCUUUGUGUGUGUGAUAAAAUCUAUCUAACAUAAAAUUCACCAUUUUUAAGUGUACAGUUCACUGGCAUUAAGUACAUUCACAUUGUUGUGAAACCAUCACCACUAUCCAUCUCCAGAACUUUUUCAUUAUCCCAAAUAGAAAAUCUGCCUGUUACACAGUAACUCCCCGUUACCCGUUUCUCACAACCCCUUAUAGCCGAUAUUGCACUUUCUGUCUGUAAGUGCGAGGUACCGCAUAUAAAUUGAAUCAUACAAUAAUUGCUCUUUUCUGAUUGGCUUAUUUCACUUAGCAUAAUGUCUUCAAGGAGCAUCUAUGUUGUAGCAUGUAUCAGAAUUUCUUCCUUCUUGAGGCUAAAUAAUAUUCCAUUAUACAUGUAUACUACAUUUUGUUUAUCCAUUCAUCCAUAUAAAUGGAUGCUUGGUUAUUCCCACCUUUUGGCUAUUGUGAAUAAUGCUGCUAUGAACUUUGGUAUACAAAUAAUCAUUCUCCACAUAAUACGCAGAAAGAGUUUUCUAAAAUGUAAAAAUCUGUUCAAGUUACCUCCCUCCUGAAAAUCUUCUAUGGUAAAUUGAAACCAAAAUAUGAUACUAUUAAACACUCCAUAGAAUAGCUGAAAUGAAAAGACUGACAAUUCCCUUAGUUGCAAAGAUGCAGAAAUGGGACUCUCAUACAGUGUUGAUGGGAGUGUAAAAUGGUACAACCACUUUGGAAACAUCAGUCUCUACUGAAAUCAAAUUUACCCCUACCCUAUACCCCAGAAAUCCCAUUUCUAGAUAUUUACCCCAAAAAAUGAAUGCCUUUAUUCACCAAAAGACUCAUAGCAGCUUUAUUCAUAAUAGCCAAAGGGAAAAAACCCAGAUGUCCACCAAUAGAUGAAUAGAUAAAUUGCAGCUUAUUCAUAUAACUGUAUACUACUGUUGAAGAAUAAUUUUAAUAUCAAAUAUAAUACAGAUAUAAAAUAAAUGUUAGAGAUUUUAUUUAACUCAUUAAUGAAUGAGAUAUCCAGAAAGAUUACAACUGCUUCAAUGGAAAAUUCAAAGUACCACACACAUAGUCAAAUGAGGAAUAAUGAAAUAACUACAAAUAUAUACAAAAACUGGCAGAACUGAUGAAAUCCACAGCUUAGUAAUCAAUUGCAUUCUACUGAAAACAAUUUGCAUUUCUUUUUUUUUUUUUUUUUUUGAGACGGAGUCUCACUCAGCCGCCCAGGCUGGAGUGCAGUGGCGCAAGCUCGGCUCACCGCAACCACCAUCUCCCAGGUUCAAUAGAGUCUCCCGUCUCAGCCUCCCGAGUAGCUGGGAUUACAGGCACCCGCCAUCAUGCCCAGCUAGCUUUUUGUAUUUUAGUAGAGACAGGGUUUCACCGUGUUGGCCAGGCUGGUCUCGAACUCCUGACCUCAGGUGAUCCGCCUGUCUUGGCCUCCCAAAGUGUUAGGAUUACAGGCAUGAGCCACCGUGCCCGGCCACAAUUUGCAUUUCUAUAGACAAGAAGUGUCUAUAGUUUGUAUAGUUGUUCUGUAGCUCAAAGACAGUGAAAGGUUUAGAGUCUUCAUAGAAUCAGACAUCCUAGAAAAGUAAGCUGGACAGCUGGGCACCUUGUUUUUCAAUGACACCCAGUAAUCAUUUUUUUGUUGUUUGUCUUAGAUGGAGUCUUGCUCUGUCACCCAGACUGGAGUACAGUGGUGUGAUCUCAGCUCACUGCAACCUCCACUUCCCAGGUUCAAGCGAUUUUCCUGCCCCAGCUUCCCGAGCAGCUGGGACUACAGAAUAUGCUCUCCAUGAGGGUGUUCUUCAGGGCCUACCACAAUGGCUGGCACUAGAGAAGGGCACAAAAUUGAAGAACAGUGAAGACAAAAGCAAUAAGAUGAUUAAGGCCAUGUGAGACAGCAACAAUAUCAGGUGAAUGUCACCCUUUAUCGAGUUGUGAGUAUCCAGCCUCUCACUUUGGGGGAUACUGUUUGAGCCUAAGUAACAUUAGUGGCUUUAUUCAUUUGGUAGAUUGUUUGUAUCUUUGCGUUGUCUCUAUCCUGCUUUUUCCUUGGCCAUUUUGCUAUUAAAAAUCUGUUGAUUUACUCUGCAUUUUCCCAUAGAGAAGGGUAGCCUGAGGAGUUAUUUAACAAUGAUGUGUUUUGGCCAGGCGCGGUGGCUCAUGCCUGUAAUCCCAGCACUUUGGGAGGCCGAGGCAGGCAGAUCACGAGGUCAGGACAUUGAGACCAUCGUGGCUAACAUGGUGAAACGCCGUCUCUACUAAAAAUACAAAAAUUAGCCAGGUGUCAUGGCACACGCCUGUAGUCCCAGCUACUCGGGAGGCUGAGGCAGGAGAAUGGCAUGAACCUGGGAGGUGGAGCUUGCAGUGAGCCGAGAUCGCGCCACUGCACUCCAGCCUGGGGCACAGAGCGAGACUCCGUCUCAAAAAAAAAAAAAAAAAAAAAAGGUGUGUUUUGUUUUUGCAACAAGUAAAAAUUGACAUAUUUCACCCACAUGUUCAUUAACAGAUGAAUGAAUAAACAAAAUGUGGUAUAUCUAAUAAGCUGGGCACAGUGGCCCACACCUGUAAUCCCAGCAGUUUGGGAGGCUGAGGUGGGUGGAUCACUUGAAGUCAGGAGUUCCAGACCAGCCUGGCCAACAUAGUGAAACCCUGUCUCUACUAAAAAUACAAAAAAGUUAGCCGGGCAUGGUGGCGUGUUCCUGUAACCCCAGCUACUCGGGAGGCUGAGGCAGGAGAAUUGCUUGAACCUGGCAGGUGGAGGUUGUAGUGAGCCAAGAUCGUGCCACUGCACUCCAGCCUGGGCAACAGAGCGAGGCUCCAUCUCAAAAAAAAAAAAAAAAAAAGUAGUAUAUCCAUACAGUGGAGUAUCAUUCGGCCAUGAAAAGGAGUGAAGCUCUGACACAUGCUACAACAUUCUGAGUCAAAUAUGCCAACACAAAAAAACAAAUACGAUCUGACUCCAUUUAUAUGAAAGAUUUUGAAUAGGCAAAUUCAUAGAGACAGAAAGUAGAUUAGAGGUUUCAGGAACUGAGAGUAGGAAGGAGGGAAGAAUGAGGAAUUAUUGCUUACUGGGUUCAUAGUUUCCAUUUGGGGGGAUGAAAAAGUUUAGAAAUUGUGGCAAUGGCUGUACAGCAUUUUGAAUGUAAUUAAUGCCAUUGAGUUCUACUCAUAAAAAGGUUAAAAUGGCAGUUUAUUUCAUACAUAUUUUACCACACACACAAAAAGCAGUUGCUGUGGAAAAAAAAAACACACACACAACAUAUUUUACACACACACAAAAGCUCCAAUCAAAACAGAAAUAGAUUUUCAGUUUUUCUUAAAAAAGAGGAAAGAAGAAAGGGAGGGAGGGUGUGAGGGAAGGAGAGAAGGAGGGAAGGAAGGAGAGAGGGAAGAAGAGAGGAAGGUACAGAAAGAAAAGAAAGAUCUAGCAUCAUCACAGGGCCCACAUUCCCUCAAGAGAACAAUAGGCUGAAACAAGUGUGGCUUCUCACGUGUCCCUGGAGGCAUCUGAGUUUGUUUCAUGUUUCCCCCAUCAGUGACAAUUUGCACCUGCUCGUGUAGAGAGGUACCUGUGAAACAGAGGCCAGCAUUAAUAAGGGGGUGGAGAGGAGAGACUGCCAAAGCCUUGCAGAGACAGAAAAAAAAAGUGUGGUUUUCCAGGACUGAAAACUCAGUCGCAGCAGCCCCUCUCUCAGUUGUACCUGUAGGAUUUUAAUUUAUAGAAGCGACUGACUGAUGACAGAGAGACUAGUGGCUUUGAAGGAAUAAUUUAUCCACAUUUCCUGAGAGGAGGGACACACCACGCCAUGCAGGGCCACAUGGAGAAGAAGCACCAGGUUUGGUCAGGAGGCAGAAGGGAGUGAAGGGAAAGCUUAAACGAGAACCUUUAUUAGCGUUUCAGCAGGGAAGGCAAGGCAGUGCAGGGAAAGUUUGGGACUGGGUGGUCUGAAUAAUUCUGGUGGGUUUUGGAGAUUAGCGGUAUCUCUAGGGGUUCUGUAGUACCUAGCCUUGGGUUAAUUUAGGGCAGGGGAAAUAUUGGCUUUGUGUUAGAAAAAGGGGGUAGUUAGAGGUAUGGACUUGGGACUAGUUGGAGGGUUUGUAAUAUAAUUUUUUGGGCGCCCACAAAAACAAGAUCAUAGGAAAGAUGUAAACAACUUUGGCUUUUCGUUUGGUCCUGUAUGGCCUGAGCCACAGAUGCGUUUGGCAUAAUAGCAGCUUCCUGGCAUGAAAGAGCCAAAAAAAAAGACAUCAAAAACACUGCCUUUUGCAGUAGACAUCUGUAAUCUUUGCCUGGGGAAAAUCAUCCACUUACAGCAGCCUGACACGGCUUUGGAGAGCCACUUUUCUCAAUUCAGCCAGGAAACUCAUGCCAAUGUGGGACUGACUUCUCAAGCCUGGAACACCAGGGGUGGCCCUGCCACGUCAGCCUGGCCAAUCAGUAUAUCCUACUGGCUUGGCCUGAUGACUCCAGCUGGGCCAAUGAGAGCCCUCCACAGGACUUUGGCUAGAAUCUACCGGGAAUGUGGUAAUAGGUGUGCCCUUUCUGUUGGAGUUCCCAAACUGUUAAGGUGUCAUCCUGGAUGUGGGACUAGGAGGGGAGCCUGCCUGAGGAUGCAGCCACCGGAGAGGAGAGUGCAGGCAAGAGAAGGAGAGAAGCUGGGUUUUGGUGGAAUUAAUUGUCUGAGGCCCUGGAUCCUGCUGUACUGGCAGCCACGUCCUGGACUUUGCAGUCAUAUAAGCCAAUUAAUUCCCGUUUAUACUUAAAAAAAAAAAGGCGAACUGCAAAACAGUAGCCAUAGGAUGCUAUGUUUAUUUAGAGAAUGGGGGAAAAUGAUUCGGAUAUGUGUCAGCUAGCAUAUUCAUUUAAACUUUUCUAAUAAAUAAGAAGCUAAUAAUCAUGAAUACCUGUUGGGAGUGGGAACUGGGUAGAUGGAGGAAUGAGUCAUAGAAAUACUUCACUGUGGCCAGGCGUGAUGGCUCACACCUGUAAUCCCAACAUUUUGGGAGGCCGAGGCCGGCGGAUCACUUGGGGCCAGGAGUUCGAGAGCAGUCUGGCCAACAUGACAAAACCCCAUCUCUACUAAAAAUACAAAAUUUAGCUGGGCAUGGUGGCAUGCGCCUCUAGUCCAAGGCUGAGGUGGGAGAGUUGCUUGAACCCAGGAGGCAGAGGUUGCAGUGAGCCAAGAUGGUGUCAUUGCACUCCACCCUGGGUGACAGUGAGACUCUGUCUCAAAAAAAAAGAAAUACUUCACUGUAUACCCUUUCAUAUUUUUUGACAUUUGAACAUGUGAGAAUGUUACCUAUCAAUAAUAUUAAAUACAGACAUUUUAUUUUUAUUUUUUGUAGAGACAGUCCUGCUGUUGUCCAGGUUGGUCUUGAACUCCUGGCCUCAAGCAAUCCUCCUGACUCAGCCUCCCCAAGUGCUGGGAUUACAAGUGUGAGCCACUGUGCCCAGCUCAGACUUUUAAAAAUACAAAAAACUCGAGGUUUAUUUUAUAAAGCCCUUAGGAAGAACAAAUCCUAUUAUAGCAAAUACAUUGAAUUUUCAAUGUACUGUGCUAGUAAGAUAUUUACACUCCUAACCACUCAGGAGCAAAGUAAACAAAGAACACUGUUAAGAGACCAGGUAGGUGGAGAAAGAUCUCAAUUAAACUUAAAGUUAUACAUAGUCUGCCUUUUGUUAUGUUUUCUAAGAAUAUGUUAGAAGCAGUCUGAGAUAUUCAGUGGUAAGAACAACGCUCUUCUGAGAAUAUACGUUGUUAUUCACAAGGAAGGAUGUAGUAGGUAUCAGUAGGUUGUCACUCCUGCUACAACAACCAGAAAAACAAAAACGCACACAUACAAAAAAAGGAUAAAUUAUACAAAUCACACACACAUGUGUAUAUAUUUAUAGACAAUCUCACUCUUGUCACCUAGGCUGGAGUGCAGUGGCGCCAUCUCAGCUCACUGCAACCUCUGCCUCCUGAGUUCAAGUGACUCUCCCACCUCACCCUCCCGACUAGCUGGGACUACAGGUGUGUGCCACCAUGCCCAGCUAAAUUUUGUAUUUUUAGUAGAGAUGGGGUUUCACCAUGUUGGCCAGGCUGGUCUUGAACUGCCUUGGCCUCCCAAAGUUCUGGGAUUCAGGUGUGAGCCACUGCGCCUGGCCCAAGUCCUAUUUUUAAAGACAUAAGAACAUCAGAGAGCAGUGGGAUCAGAGAAAGAAGAGCCCAUUGCUAGGUGAACUGGGAUUGCUGGUCAUUUUUCUCCCUGGGUGCAUUUGUCAAAGCUGAAGAUUGAGUGUGGUUUACACUGAACUUUUGAUGGCCUCUCAGGCUAUUGUUAACAGAUUAGAGUCUAAAGGAGCCUAGAUAAGAGGCUUUUUUUCCCAUGGGAUAUUUGCUGAGUGCUGGGGUAGACUGGGGGCCAAGAGCUGCUAAGCUCGAGACCUAGGCUGGAAAGGCAGAGUAAGAUCUGCAGUCUCUUAGUUUGGAAUGUGGAGUCCCUCUGAAGGGAGGGGCCUGCAAAAAAUACAUGACAGGUCUCACUCUCUCAAGAUAAUUAAAAACAGAGGUGGACCACAUCUAAGUAAAGCCGUAACUCUUCCAAAAUCAGCUCAAUUUCUGAUUGGAUAGAAUUAUCAUUCUUUUGAGGUACAUGGGCCAACAGAAAAUAGAGUCAACCAUUCAGAGAAAAAUAUUAUUAACUUCGACCUUUAAGGUUAUUUUAUACACAGUAUUUGGCAUACAAUAAAAAAGUAUUAGUCGGCAGGGCACAGUGGCUCAUACCUGUAAUCCCAGCACUUUGGGAGGCUGAGGCAGGUGGAUCACUUGAGGUCAGGAGUUCGAGACCAGCCUGGGAAACAUAGUGAAACCCCAUCUCUAAUAAAAAUACAAGAAUUAGUCAGGUGUGGUGGCGCAUGCCUAUAUUCCCAGCUACUCAGGAGGCUGAGGCAAAAGAAUCGCUUGAACCCAGGAGGUGGAGUUUGCAGUGAGCGGAGAUCGCACUACCGCACUCCAGCCUGGGUGACAGAGCGAGACUCUUGUCUCAAAAAAAAGAAAGAAAAUGUCUGUAAGUACAGAAAGAUAAAACAGAAAGAACAAUGUUAACUACAAAGUUCUUGUUUAAUGUCUCCCUAGAAUACAAUAUUUAGCCGAGAAGUUUACUCACAUAAUCUUAGCAUGUUUGUUGUAGAAAAUAAAAGGGAAUUUUGUUUAUUUAAAUUAUAAAUAAACUCAUUUUGUAAUCAUAUUAUAUAAAUUCCUGUUAGAAUCUUGGAUCUAGUUUUUUCUUCACAGAUUGCAAGUAACAUAAAAUAAAGCUUCCACCAGAUUUGAAUCUAAAUACCACACUCACUUUACAAUUCUGAAUUUUGGUUUCUACAUUUGUAAAAUAGAAAUAGUAAUACAUGUCUCAUAAGUUUAGUAUGAAGAUUAAGUGACGUAAGGCCCUCGGUAUAAUGCCUGGUAUAGAGUAAAUAUACAUUAUUAUUGCUGUUAUUACUUUUGGAGACAGGGUCUCAUUCUGUCACCCAGGCUGGAGUGCAGUGGUACAUUCAUGGCUCACAGUAGUCUUGAACUCCUAGGCUCAAGUGAUCCUCCUGCCUCAGCCUCUUGUUUAGCUGGGAGUACAAGCACAUGCCACCAUGUCCAGCUAAUUUAAAAAAAUUGUUUUUCCAGAGACAGGUUCUCGCUAUGUUGCCAGGGCUGGUCUUGAACUCCUGGCCUCAAGCGAUCCUCCUGCCUUGGCCUCCCAAAGUGCUGGGUUUAUAGAUGUGAGCCACUGCACCCAGCUAUGAAAAAUUAAUUUUUCCUCAGGCAUGCAUAUCUACCAUGUUACAGGAAUCAUCACAGGGAGUAUGAGGGAAUAGACUCCCAUUAAAUGAGAUGAGAUUAAAUGAGACAGUGGAUGUAACUCAGUAAAGUCCUUCUAAAUGGUGACCUUUAUUAUUAUAAUAACAUAAUCUCAGUCUGCCAAAUCAGGUGUGCAACAAACUAUUUUAACGUAAUGACUUCACGUGUGUUUUGAGUUCCCAGUCUGCUAGAUAACAGCAAAUUAAUCUUAGAUAUGUGAGGUUUGUUUGUUUGUAGAGGUCUCACUGUGUUGCCCAGGCAGGUCUCAAAUUCCUGGCCUGAAGCUGUCCUCCCGCCUCAGCCUCCCAAAGGGUUGGGAUGACAGGCGUAAGCCACCAUGCCUGGCCCAAAAUUUGGAGUUUUCUUUCCUUCCUGCUGGAUGGUGCGUGAGUUCUAGGGUCUUACCUUGUGCCAAGAUGUGAGUUGGAGGGCAAUUUUUCCUUAUAAUCAUCUUUCCUCAUAGGUCACACAGAAGUGGCCUGUUCUUGUGCCUAUGCCUUCUUCAAAUCUGGGGCAUCCUCCCUCCACUUCUAUUUACAGCCUGGGGGCCAUGGGAAUCUUUCUGUUGCUUCAGUGUCAAACAAGGGCAUGGACAUCUUAGAGUGCCUGUGGCGUUGCCAACCAAAACACCCUAUACGCAGUGCCAUCUCUGGGGUCCUGCUGUUCCCUGGCAUGCAGCCCAGGAAUCAGGGCCUCAGGCCUUUCUUCCUUGGAGCCACCUUGUCACUGCUCUCUCAUAUCAGUGCCUCACUUCUGUCUCCCACUGCUUAAGGGUCUUUUAAUCUGGUCUCCCUAAAGAACUUUACCUAUUAUUACCUAUUAUUAAGAAUAGGUUUAGUUUCUUUCAGAAACUAUUGUUUCGGAGUGUUUUCCACUUUUGUUACCAUUUCAUCUCUCAUCUGAGCCAAUAGACACAUAGAUUGCUUAAAUGGCUGAAGGCGGGGGGAAGGGAGGAUACUAGAAGAAAAUAAAAACAAGGCCGGCGCAGUGGCUCAUGGCUGUAAUCUUGGCACUUUGGGAGCCCAAGGCAGGCAGAUCACUUGAGCCCAGGAGUUCAAGACCAGCCGGGGAAACGUAGGGAGACCCUGUCUCUACAAAAAAUAAAAAAUUAGCCAGGCAUGGUGGUGUGCACCUGUUAGUCCCAGCUACUCCUGGGUUCAAGUGAUCCUUCCACUUAAGCCUCCCAAGUAGCUGGGACCACAGGCAUGUGCCACCACGCCCAGCUAAUUUUUGUAUUUUUUGUAGAGACGGGCUUUCACCAUGUUGCGCAGGCUGGUCCUGAGCUCCUGGUCUCAAGCAAUCCUCCUGCCUCAGCCUCCCGAAGUGCUGGGAUUACAGACGUGAGCCAUCAGGCCCAGCCUAUAAUGGAAUUCUUAUUAUCAGAUUAGCCUUUCUGCCUUAAACAACCAUGAAACUGCCCAAAAGCUAUGAGCAACCAUUUUCAAACAAUAGACAACAGGCAGUGCAUGACAGUAAUCCCCAAGAUCACUGAUGAGAUGUUUCCCACAAUUUCUCUGUCUCUCUGCUGGCGACAGCUUUCCAAUUGCAGCAUAGCAAGCUGGAAUUCUGGCAGAGUAGGGAUGCCCUGCUGUGUUGAGAAGAGAUCAGAGUGAAGGGCUGCCGAAACCGCUGCAGUCCAUAAGUCGUGGCCCUGGAGAGAAUGGAGCUGCUUAUGUGGGAGGCAGAGAUCCACACCAUGGCUUUCUCAUGAGUUCUUAGCUGAAAACUGGGCUGUACAUGUGUAGGGAAGACUACCUGAGGGUUACCAGAGAGAGGCUGCUACCCAGUUGAGAGCAAAGCAGAUAAUAGAGGUCAGGCAGAUAACAGAAUCCAGAGCCUCUACAAUGUAUCAUCCAGUGUCCUUGACACAAUCUACAAUUCCUAAACAUACAAGGAAACAGAAAAAUAUGACCCAUAGCAAAAACAACAAUCAAUAGAAGCUGACCACAAGGUGGUCCAGAUGCUGGACUUAGCAAAGACUUUAAGGAAAUUAUUAUAUGUUCAAAAUUCUAAAGGAAAGUGUGUUUAAAGAAUUAAAGGAAAAUAUGUUUAAAUAAUUAGGCCAGGCGCGGUGGCUCAAGCCUCUAAUCCCAGCACUUUGGGAGGCUGAGGUGGGUGGAUCACCUGAGGUCAGGAGUUCGAGACCAGCCUGACCAACAUGGUGAAACCCCAUCUCUACUAAAAAUACAAAAAAUUAGCCAGGCUUGUUGGUGCGUGCUUGUAAUCCCAGCUACUCGGGAGGCUGAGGCAGGAGAAUCUCUUGAACCUGGGAGGCGGAGGUUGCAGUGAGCCGAGAUCGCGCCAUUGUACUCCAACUUGGGCAACAAGAGUGAAAUUCCGUCUAAAAAAAGAAAAGGAAAAUAUGUUUAAAUAAUUAAAGGAAAAUAUGGUCUUUUUUUCUUUUUUUAAGAGACGGUGUCUCACUGCAUUGCCUAGGCUGAACUUGAACUCCUGGGCUGAAGAGAUCCUCUUGCUUCAGCCUCCCAAGUAGCUGAGACUACAGCCAUGUGCCCCCACACCCAGCAGGAAAGGUGUUUUCUUUUGAGGCAGGUUCUAACUCUGACACCCAGGCUGGAGUACAAGUGGCAUGAUCUUGGUUCACUGCAGCCUCAACCUCCAGGGCUCAAGUGAUCCUCCCACCUCAGCCUCCCAAGUAGCUGGGACUACAGGUGCACACCACCAUGCCCAGCUAAUUUUUGGUUUUUUUUUUUUUUUUUUUUUUUGGCAGAGACAGGUUUCACCCUGUUGCCCAGGCUGGUCUCAAACUCCUGGGUUCCAGCAGUCCACCCACCUCGGCCUCCCAAAGUGUUGGAAUUACAGGCAUGAGCCACCACACCCAGCCAGGAAAGAUCUUAAUGAGUGAAUGAAUAGAAAACCAAGCAGACAAGCUGGUGGCUCCUGCCUGUAAUCCUAGCACUUGGGAGGCCAAGGCGGGUAGAUCACUUGAGGUCAGGAGUUUGAGAACAGCCUGGCCAACAUGGUGAAACCUCCUCUCUACUAAAAAUACAAAAAUUAGCCGGGCAUGGUGGCGCAUACCUGUAAUCCCAGCUACUGAAGCUGAGGCAGGAGAAUCUCUUCAACCUGGGAGGUAGAGGUUGCAGUGAGCCGGUAUUGCACCACUGCACUCCAGCACAGGCGACAGGACAAGACUCUUUCUCAAAAAAAAAAAGAAAAAAAAAAAAAAACCACCAAGCAGAUAAAUGUCAAUUAUAGCAAAGUACCAUCUAGAAAUUCUAGAACUGAAAAGUAUAAUAACUGAAACAAAAAGUAUUUAAGAUGGACUUGACUUCUUAUAGAGAAGGCCGAAGACAAAGAUAGGCAACUUAAAGACAGAUCAAGAAAAAUGAUCCAGUCUGAAAAACAGAGAGAAAAAGGACUGAAGAAAAAUACGGCAAGCCUCAGAGAUCCGUGGAACAAUAUCAAAUAUCUGGAUAUAUUUGCUUGUCUUAUCAUUAUAAGAGAGGGACUAAAGACCAAUGGGAAUUUGGGUAGGGCUUACGAAUUGUGCUUGUCACUAUCAUGUGCCCUGGGGAGGCCCUAUGUUGGGAUACCUCCAGGAUCACUUUAUUUAGGUGUUUCAGGCCGCUUGGAUUCCCCAGAGAAGCCUCUUUAAAUGUUCCAAUCUCCUGGUAAUGCUCAGGGAGCCCAGUGGGAGAAUAGAGCUGGACUCAGCAUCUAACAUUCAAUAGCAGUAGUCACUUAAACCCUUAUUUUUGGUACAGUACUCACAUCCUCAACUAUGCCUGGUUUCCUCAGUCCACAGACCUUUAUUUUACCAUCUGUAGGUACUAAUGCCUCUUCUUGGAGACAAGGGAGGGGCAGUUGCUAAUAAGUAUGGAGUGGGUGAGGGGAUCUCAGGAUCUAGCUGCAUCUCAAACUGCUUUCACCCAGUUCUCAUUAUUUUGGACCUCCUUUCACUCCCAAUUCCAGAGAUGCCUGGGUUCUGUCAGUUUCUGUGCCUUUUUAGGAUACUGUGAUGGUUAAUAUGUGUCAAAUUGACUGGGCCAAGUGCCCAGAUAUUUGGACAAACAUUAUUCUGGGUGUUUCUGUGAGGGUGUUUUUGGAUGAAAUUAGCAUUUAGGUGGGAUCUGGUGGUUCAUGCCUGUAAUCCCAGCAUUUUGGGAGGCCAUGGUGGGAGGAUUACUUGAGGCCCGGGUUUUGAGACCAACCUGGGCAACACUGCAAGACCCUGUCUCUACAAAAACAAAAUAAAAAAGAAAUUCGCAUUUAAAUCAGUAGACUUGAGUGAAGUCAAUUGCUCUCUGUCUCGGUCUGCUCAGCCUACUAUAAUAAAAUACCAUACACAUGCUGGUUAAACAACAGAAACAUUUCUCACAGUUCUGGGGGCUGGAACGUCCAAGGUCAAGGUGCUAGGCAGUUUACCUUCUGGUGAGGAGCCUCUUGCUGGCUUGCAGAUGGCUGCCUUCUCACUGUGUCUUCCUCACGUGGUGCAGAGAGAGAUCUCUUGUGUCUCUUCUUACAAAGCCACUAAUCCCAUAAUGAGGGCUCCCAUAUGCCCUUGUUGCUCCCAAAGGCCCCAUCUCCAAAUACCAUCACCCUGAGGGUUAGGGCUUUAAUGUGAUUUGGGGGGGACACAAGUGUUCAGUUCAUAACAUUCCCCAUAGUGUGGGUGGUCUCAUCCAGUUAGUUGGAGGCCUGAAUAAAGACUGACCUUUUGCCCCAGCAAGAGGUAUUUUACAGCUGACUUACUUGGUCUGCUGAAAAAUACCUCUUCAUCCACACUACAGAUUUUGGAUUUACCAGCCAAAUAAUCAUGCGAGCCAAUUCCUUUUCUCUCUCACUGUCUUUGUCUUUUUCUUUCUGUCUCUCCUACAUAUGCGCUCGCACACACACACGCGCACACACACACACACACGCACACCCCUUAUUGCCUCCUAUUGUUUCUCUGGAGAACCCUGCCCACUACUGGCCCAAGAAUGGUUCCUUCUUAGGUCAGCUAAGACAGUCACCACUCUUCUGCUUUCUAGGUUCCAAAAGCUUGCUGCUGUUGUCUCUCUCUCUCUUUUUGUUUGUUUGUUUGUUUGUUUUUCUUUUUUGAGACAGGGUUUUGUUCUGCCUGCCAGGCUGGCGUGCAGUGGCAUCAUCUUGGCUCACGGCAACCUCCGUCUCCCAGGCUCAAGUGAUCCUCCCAUCUUAGCCUCCCGAGUAGCUGGGACCACAGGCAUGUGCCACCAAGCUUGGCUAAUCUUUUUUUCUUUUUCUUUUUUUUUUGUUUUUGUUUGUUUGUUUUUGAGACAGUCUCCCUCUGUGGCCCAGCCUGGAGUGCAGUGGUGCAAUCUCGGAUCAUUGCAACCUCUGCCUCCCAGGUUCAAGCAAUUUUCCUGUCUCAGCCUUCCAAGUAGCUGGGAUUAUAAGUGUGUGCCACCAUGCCUGGCUACUUUUUUUUUGGCAUUUUUAGUAGAGACAAGGUUUCAACGUGUUGGCCAGGCCGGUUUGAACUCCUGGGCUCAAGUGAUCCACCCGGUUUGGCCUUCCAAAGUGCAGGGAUUAUAGGCGUGAGCCACCACGCCUGACCUGCUGUCAUCUGUUCUGUUCUCAUUGUUGUAGACUUAUUGUAGUUUUUACUAUAUAUACAGUCACUUUACUAUAGUAGGUUUUUGGGGGAAUGGAUCUAGAUGUGCAUGUUUAAUCUGCAAUUUCAGCCCAGAGCUCCUGGACUUCCUAAUUCUUAAGAGUGAUUUAAAUAACAGAACGUUUCCUGGAAAUUGUGUUCUUAUGCAAUAUGUUAGCAGCCUUCUGUUGGUCUCCCCCUCAUUAAAGGGCCUCAAAAGAGAUUUCUUCUUUUUUUUUUUUGGCAGGGCCUUGCUCUGUUACCCAUGCUGGAGUACAGUGAUGCCAUUAUGGCUCACUGCAGUCUUGACCUCCAGGGCUCAAGCCAUCCUCCCACCUCAGCCUCCUGAGUAGCUGGGACUACAGACAUGCAACACCAUGCCCAGCUAAUGUUUAAUUAUUUUUUAAUAGAGACCCAGUCUCAUUUUGUCGCCCAGGCUGGUCCUGAACUCUUGGGCUCAAGCAAUCUUCCCACCUCCCAAAAUGCUGGUAUCACAGGCUUGAGCCACCAUACCCUGCCCUCAAAAGAGAGAAAUUAAUUAAUUAAUGUAUUUAUUUUUGAGACAGAGUCUCACUCUGUCGCCCAGGCUGGAGUACAGUGGUGUAUCUUGGCUCACUGCAACCUCUGCCUCCUGGGUUCAAGCAAUUCUGCUGCUUCAGCCUCCUGAGUAGCUGGGAUUACAAGUGCACGCCACCAUGCUCAGCUAAUUUUUGUAUUUUUAGUAGACACUGGGUUUCUCCAUGUUGGCCAGGCUAGUCUUGAACUCCUGACCUCAAGUCAUUCACCCACUUCGGCCUCCCAAAGUGCUGGGCUACAUGCGUGAGCCACUGUGGCUGGCCAAAAGAGAUUUCUUAAUCUACCUUCCUUCUUGUGUACAAAAGGGCCACAAAGCUAUUAAAAUAAAUCAUAAUUAUGUCUGUUCCAAGUCCAUUACUUGAACAUGACAAAUCAGUAAGAGACACUCAUUUUCUUCUAGAGAAGUAGGUAUCUUCAAGGGCCCUGGGCUCACCACAAGUUCACAAAUGCAUAGCUUCUUGGACAUGUCUGGCCUUAGCUGACAGUAAAUACUAAAAUAUACUUCAGAUACAAAACAUCUACUACAUCUAACUCAAGCUAGCAAUGUCAAAUGAUUACCUUGGUCUUAACAUCUAAAAGGCUUUUUCUUCCCUUAAAUGAGUCCUAGCAUUAGGUAUCCCUGAUUACAGUAAGCAGUUCACUCUUCCAUUAAAAAAAACAACCUUCAUUAUACAAACACAGACUAAUGGAGACAACGCCCUAGUGCCUGUGAUCAUUCUUCUUACGCUGGAAAAUACCUGCUUUGCCUCCAGCCUGUGUUCUGUGGCCAGGACAGCUGUCUUGGUAGAGGCUUCUUGUGUUUUCAUCCUGGUGUCCCUCUUUAUGGGGCUGCUCCACCUCAGCACUCCUUCUAAAAACCAAAAUGCAAUUCCUAUCAACUGUCGAAUAUGUAAAUAUUACAUUUUACUCAUCUCUGCUGGUCAUAUUACCCUUAUGCUUUGCCUCCCAGUAAACCCAGCAUCUUUUUUUUUUUUUUUUUUUUUUUUUUUUUUUUUUGGAGAUAGGGUCCUGCUCUGUCACCCAGGCUGGAGUGCAGUGACGCAGUCACAGCUCACUGCAGCGUCAACCUCCCAGGCUCAAGCUUUCCUCCCACUUCGGCCUCCUGAGUAGUUGGAACUAGAGGUGCACUUCACCAUCCUGGUAAUUUUUUUUUUUUUGAGACAGAGUCUCCCUCUGUUGCCCAGGCUGGGGUGCAGUGGCGCGAUGUCAGCUCACUGCAACCUGUGCUUCCCAGAUUCAAGCAAUUCUCCUUCCUCAGCCUCCUGAACAGCUGGGAUUACAGGUGCCUGCCACCACGCCCGGCUAAUUUUGUAUUUUUAGUAGAGACGGGGUUUUGCCAUGUUGGCCAGGCUGGUCUUAAGCUCCUGACCUCAAGUGAUCCACCCACCUCCAAAAGUGCUGGGAUUACAGGUGUGAGCCAUCAUGCCUGCUUGUAUUUUUUUUUUUUUUUUUUUGAGACGGAGUUUCGCUCUGUGGCCCAGGCUGGAGUGCAAUGGCACGAUCUCGGCUCACUGCAAGCUCGGCCUCCCGGGUUCACGCCAUUCUCCUGCCUCAGCCUCCCGAGUAGCUGGGACUACAGGCGCCCGCCACCACGCCCGGCUAAUUUUUUGUAUUUUUAGUAGAGAUGGGGUUUCACCAUGUUAGCCAGGAUGUUCUCGAUCUCCUGACCUCAUGAUCCACCCACCUCGGCCUUCCAAAGUGCUGGGAUUACAGGUGUGAGCCACGGCGCCUGGCUGCCUGCUUGUAUUUUUUUGUAGAGAUGGAGUCUAUGUUGCCCAGGCUGGUCUCUGAACUCCUGGCCUCAAGCAAUCCUACCACCUCAGCCUCCCAAAGUGUUGGGACUACAGACACGAGCCUCUGUGCCCAGCCUCCAACAUCUUUAUUCUACCUCCAGUCUACUAAAAACCUCACAAUUGUCUUGCAGUCUUUUUCAUACACCUUUGCCUUCACAAAGCCUUUCUUCCCUCUUUUCCGUUAGCAGAAUCUUGGUUUUUGUAGGCACAUCUAUGCUCCCCUCCGCCAACCAACACCUUCCCCAGCUCAGGGGCAAAUCUUGAUUAGCUGGGUACCUUUUCCCUGGAUGAGGAUUGGCCCAGCAUGGACAUGUGAUACAGUUCUGGCCCAUGAGACAGAUUUCAUGGGGAGGCUUCCAAGAAGUUUCCUCAUUCUUUAAAAGAGACCCCCAGGAAGACUCAUUCUCUUUUGCUAAUCCUUGCUGAGGCUGACUGUGGCAUCUGGAGCUGCAGCAGCCUUCUUGUGAUCAGGAUGGAAUGAAGAGAAAGACAGAAAGACUGAGGGCCCUUCACAACGUCAGCAAAUCCACCAACCAUGGGGCUUAGCUGCCCUACUUCAGGAAAUGUUGUUUAAUGAAAUAAUAAAAUGCCCUAACUUUUUUUUUUUUUUUUUUUGAGAUGGAGUCUCACUCUGUCGCCCAGGCUGGAGUGCAGUGGCGUGAUCUCAGCUCACUGCAAGCUCCACCUCCCAGGUUCACGCCAUUCUCCUGCCUCAGCCUCCUGAGUAGCUGGAACUACCAGCGCCUGCCACCACACCUGGCUAAUUUUUUGUAUUUUUAGUAGAGACGGGGUUUCUCUGUGUUAGCCAGGAUGGUCUCGAUCUCUUUACCUCAUGAUCCACCCGCCUCGGCCUUCCAAAGUGCUGGGAUUACAGGCGUGAGCCACUGCACCCGGACUAACUUUUUUUUUUUUUUUUCAGAAACAGUGUCUCACUCUGUUGCCCAGGAUAGAGUACAGUGGCCGCAUCAUGGCUUGCUCCAGCCUCAACUCCUGGGCUCAAGGGGGAGCCCGACUAAUUUUGUAUGUUUUGUUGUGUUUUGUUUUGUUUUGAGACAGGGUCUCACUCUGUCACCCAGGCUGGAGCUCACUGCAGCCUCCACCUCCCCAGGCUCAUGUGAUCCUCACACGUCAGCUUCCAGAGUAGCUGGAACCACACGUAUGUGUUGCCUGGCUAAUUUUUGAUUUUUUUUUUCUUUUUAAGUUUUGUAUUUUUUGUAGAGAUGGGGUUUCACCGUGUUGCCCAGGCAGGUCUCAAAAUGCUAGACUCAAGUGAUCCUCCUUCCUUGGCCUCUUUAAAGUGUUGGGAUUACAGACUUGAUAGCCACCAUGCGAGGCUUUUUUUUUUUUUUUUUUUUUGAGAUGGUGUUGUGCUCUGUCACCCAGCCUGGAGUGCAGUGGUGCCAUCAUAGCUUACUGCAGCCUCAACCUCCGGGUCUCAAACCAUCCUCCCACCUCAGCCUCCCGAAGCUCUGGGAUGACAGUCAUGAGCCACCAUGCCCAGCCAAAAUGCCCUAACUUUUUAAAGCCAAAUUGAAGUUGGAUGUACUAGAUCUUUUUCUGAUUGGUCCUUCAGACUCAUUUCUCUCUGUCAAUCAGGAGGCUGGGUUUGGCCUGUGACAUGUAUCAACAGAUCAAAGGGUGGGAGUACAGAGCCAGGUCCUGGUUCACUGGUGGCUGCAUCCUUUGCCCAAGGUCAUAACCCCUGUCAGGUGGCUUUUGUGCUGUAGCUAUACAUCAGAUUUCAAGAACCUCUCCUUCCUUUUGCCCUCUCAACUAAAAAGUGUGGUGGUGGUUUCCUUCUGUUGCUAGUUUCAUUCUUUGUGGUUCCCUGAACCCUACCUAUACUUUAGUAAGUAAUUGCUUCAUUAGCAUCUCUUAAAUAUCCUCUUUUGGCUGGGCGCAGUGGCUCACACCUGUAAUCCCAGCACUUUGGGAGGCCGAGGCAGGCGGAUCACGAGGUCAGGAGAUCAAGACCAUCCUGGCUAACACGGUGAAAUCCUGUCUCUACUAAAAAUACAAAAAAUUUUUGUAGUCCCAGCUACUCGGGAGGCUGAGGCAGGAGAAUUGGCGUGAACCCGGGAGGCAGAGGUUGCAGUGAGCCGAGAUUGCGCCACUGCACUCCAGCCUGGGUGGCAGAGCGAGACUCCGUCUCAUAAAAAAAAAAAAAAAAAAAAUUCUCUCUUGCGUUUGCCAACUCUUUUCCGCCAGGACCCUGACUAAUACUUGGGUUUGCAACUGUUGCAAUUACUGCCCACCUGAAUGAACCCUUACUAUCCUUAAAGACAUUUUACUAUCAUCUUUCAUGUAGAUGAGUCUGUUCAUUGGUUUUAGAGCAUGAAGUGGUGUAAUGUGCCCAUUUUGAUUUUUGUCUGACGUUCUGAUAGGUGAUUAAUUGAUUGUUUUUAUCAAAACGUCUACUCUCCUAAUAAAUCUGUCAAUUUUUUUUAUUCCACCUAUAACUUUUGUUUUUUAUUUUUAUUUUUUUGAGACGGAGUCUAGCUCUAUCGCCUAGGCUGGAGUGCAGUGGUGCGAUCUUGGCUCACUGCAACCUCUGCCUCCAGGGUCCAAGCAAUUCUCCUGCCUCAGCCUCCUGAGUAGCUGGGAUUACAGGCAUGCGCCAUGACACCUGGCUAAUUUUUGUAUUUUUAGUAGCGACGGGGUUUCGCAGUGUUGGCCAGGCUGGUCUCGAACUCCUGACCUUAAGUGAUCUGCCUUCCUUGGCCUCCCAAAGUGCUGGGAUUACAGGCGUGAACCACUGCUCCUGGCCCAUCUAUAACUUUUGGGUUGUUCACAUUUAUGGGAAAACAAUGAGGAGAAAUAAAUUUCCAAAUGUUUUUAGAUUAAUGACUUUUACAUGCCUUCCAAGUAUCUUCUAAAGAAGUGUUAUGAGAUGUUCCAGCCGGGCACGGUGGCUUACGCCUGUAAUCCCAGUACUUUUGGAGGUGGGCAGGUCACCUGAGGUCAGGAGUUAGAGACCAGUCUGGGCAACAUGGUGAAACCCUGUCUCUACUAAAAAUACAAAAAUUAGCCAGGCAUGGUGGCGCAUGCCUAUAAUCCCAGCUACUCAGAUAGCUGAAGCAGGAGAGUUGCUUGAACCUGGGAGGUGGAGGUUGCAGUUAGUCGGUGAUGACUGUUGAGAUGUAACACCAGCAGCAUGAUCCGUGACAGAAUUAAUAAGGUGGACUUUAUUAAAAUUAAAAUUUUCUGCUUUACAAAAGACACUCUUAAGAGAACAAAAAGACAAGACAGACUAGAAGAAAAUGUUUGCAAAAGAUAUAUCUGAUAAUGGACCAUUAUCCAAAAUAUACAAAGAAUUCUCAAAACUUAACAAUAAGAAAACAAACAACCUGAUUAAAAAAUGAGUCAAAGGCCUGGCAUGGUGGCUCGUACCUAUAAUCCUAACACUUUGGGAGGCUGAGGCAGUAAGAUUGCCUGAACCCAGAAAUUCAAUACCAGCCUGGGCAAUAUAGUGAGACCUCGUCUCUACAAAAAAUAUAAAAAUUAGCUGGGUGUCGUGGUGCAGGCCUGUUGUCCCACCUACUUGCUAGGCUGAAAUGGGAGGAUGGCUUGAGCCCAGGAGGCGGAGGUUGCAGUGAGCCAUGAUUGUGCCACUGCACUCCAGUCUGGGCAAUAGAGCAAGACUCUGUCUCAAAAAACAAAAGCAAACCCAAAAAUAUGCCAAAGACCUUAACAGACACCUUACCAAAGCAGAUAAACAGAUGGCAAAUAAGCAUAUGAAAAGAUGCUCCACAUUUCCCUUUCAUCAGGGAAAAGCAAAAUAAAACAACAAUAAGAUGUCAUUGCAUACCUAUUAGAAUGGCCAAAGUCCAGAACACUUACAACAUCAAAUGCUGGCAAGCAUGUGGAGCAACAGGAACUCUCAUUGCUGAUGGGAAUGCAGAAUGGCAUAGCCACUUUGGAAGACAGUAUGGUAGUUUCUUACAAAACUAAACCUACUCUUGCCAUAUGAUCCAAUGUUGGCUUUGAAAACUUAUGUCCAUACAAAACCCUGCACAGGUAUUUAUAGCAGCUUUAUUCAUAACUGCCAAAACUUGGAAGUAACUAAAAUGUCCUUCAGUAGGUGAAUGGAUAAAUUGUGAUACAUUCAAACAAUGGAAUAUUAUCCAGCAUUAAAAAGAAAUGAGCUACCAAGCCGUAAAGAGACAUGAGGAAAACUUAAUUCCAUAAUGCUAAGUGAAAGAAGCCAGUCUGAAAAGGCUACACACUGUAUUAUUCCAACAAUAUGGCAUUCUGGAAAAGACAAAACUGUGGAGAUGGUAAAAAGAUCAGUGGUUGCCAGGGGCUGAGGGCAGGAAGGGAUGAAUAGGCAGAGAAUAGAGGAGUUUUAGGGCAGUGAAAAUACUCUGUAUGAUACUAUAAUGGUGGACACAUGUCCUAUAUAUUUUUCCAUUUGUCCAUAGAUUGUACAACAACAAGAAUGAACCUUAAUAUAAACUAUACACUUUGAGUGAUGAUGUGUCAAUGUAGGUUCAUCAGUUGUAAUAAAUGUAGCACUCUGGUGGGGGAUGUUGUUAAUGGGGGGGAUUGUGCAUGUGUUGGGGGGGCAUAUGAGAUAUCUCAGUGCCUUCCUCUUAAUUUUGCUAUGAACCUAAAACUGCUCUCAAAAAAAUAAAGUCUGGCCGGGUACAGUGGCUCACACCUGUAAUCUCAGCACUUUGGGAAGCCAAGGCAGGUGGAUCACCUGAGGUCAGGAGUUCGAGAUCAGCCUGGCUGACAUGAUGAAACCCUGUCUCUACUAAAAUUACAAAAAUUAGCUGGGUGUGGUGGCGCGCGCCUGUUAUCCCAGGUACUCGGAAGGCUGAGGCAGGAGAAUCGCUUGAACCCAGGAGGCGGAGCUUGCAGUGAGCCGAGAUUGCACCACUGCACUCCAGCCUGGGUGACAGAGUGAGACUCUAUCUCAAAAAAAAUAAUAAAAUAAAAUAAAGUCUUUAAAAAAAUAAUCUUUGGCUACUUCAGCCAUUUUCUCCCUUCUCAGGCCAUGGCUUUGGUUUCAUCCUCAACCUCCAACUAGGUUCCUCUGACAACUUUUUUUUUUUUUUUAACAUUUCUCUGCUCCAAAACCAGACCCCAAAUUCAGGGAGGAAAUUAUGUAGAGGCUGAUGGUCUUACACCCAGAUCACCUGUGGUUUUCCCCAAAUGGCCACUUGAUGGCACUCAAGAAUCUUCUUCUUGUUCACAUGAUUCCUGGAAUGGCUCAUGUGAAAUAAAGGGGGUAUGAUGAAUGAAGGACUUUUGAUAAAAGUCAUUAGAUGCUAUGGAUAUGUUCCAGUGUGUUCCAUUGUAGACCACAGUACUAUCAUGUCUGCCUUUUUUUUUUUUUUUUUGGUAGAGAUGGGGGUCUCACUAUGUUGCCCUGGCUGGUCUUGAACUCUUGGGCUCAAGCAGUCCUUUUGCCUCAGCCUCCCAAAGUGUUGGGAUUAUAGGUAUGAGCCACUGCACCUGGCCUGUCUCUGCCAUUUUUUGACAGAUAAUGGAACGGCAUGAUUCACAACAGUAUUAUUCUGUUAAUUUCAUCCAGAUGAAAAAAUACUGAUCACAUAAAUAGAAAUAUAUGUUUAGAGAUGUGUAGAACUAUCACCAUAUACAAAAUAUACUACACUGUCAUCAUCAAAGAGUUGUUAAAAGUUUUCCUACUCAAAUUUGAAAUAUCUGCCAGGCAUGGUGGCUCACACCUGUAAUUCCAGCAAUUUGGGAGGCUGAGGCAAGCAGAUAACUGGAGCUCAGCAGUUCGAGACCAGCCUUGGCAACAUAGCAAAACCGCGUCUCUACUAAAAAAUUAAAAAAUUAGCCGGGCAUGGUGGCGUGCACCUGUAAUACCAGCUACUCAAGAGACUGAGGUGGGAGGAUGGCUUGAGCCCGGGAGGUUGAGGUUGCAAUGAGUCAGGAUCGUGCCACUCACUCCAGCCUGGGCAACAGAGCAAGAGUCUAUCUCUAAAAAAAAAAAAAAGAAGAAGAGGUCGGGCGUGGUGGCUCACGCCUGUAAUCCCAGCACUUUGGGAGGCCAAAGCAUGUGGAUCACUUGAGGUCAGGAGUUCUAGACUAGCCUGGCCAACAUGGUAAAAUCCCGUCUCUUCUAAAAAUACAAAAAUUAGCUGGGCGUGGUGGCAGGCACCUGUAAUCCCAGCGGGGCCGAGGCAGGAGAAUCACUUGAACCCGGGAGGUGGAGGUUGCAGUGAGCCGAGAUCGCACCAUUGCACUCCAGCCUGGGGGACAAGAGCGAGACUUCGUCUCAAAAAAAAAAAAAAAAAGAGAGAAAUAUCCUUGUCCUUUAAUACAAUGAGACACAAACCUCAUAGGUCAAAUGGGAAAGGAAGUCUGUGAAGGCUUUCAGAUGCAACAAGACUUUGACUACUGACUUUCACUAUAGAAUCAGCGGGUGGGGGGGUAUAAAAUGACAAAAUAGAAUUUCAGAAACUAAAUUGGUCAAGAUGUGUGCAGAAACCUGAUUCAAAUGGCCUAGAUAGUUCCCAGAGUUCUUGCAAGUAUAAGAUGCACAGCUGUCAAAGAGACAUUCUCAUCUUGAAAUAUUAAUGGGUUGGCCCAUGACACGUCCCUCUAUACUCCCAGGGGAACCCACUUAAAAGCAAUAAUAUAUUAAAUGAUAUCCUCCUAAAUUAGUACAAAGCAUUCUAUAAAAAGCGUGUCAAGGCCUUCUUUUCACAUGUCCUACCGUGGCAGAUGCUGUUGGUGCUUCACCUGUAUCCCCCUGGAUCCCUUUUACCAUUUCUGUCCUGUUAUCCUCCACUUUCUGUGACCUUUGUUUCCAGUGGCUUGUACCUGAGGGCAUCACACCUGGUCUGCUGGGGUUGCUGUGCACACCAGCAUAUAAAGGGAGUGAGAAUGGCCUGAGAGUUUAUGUGUCCUUCCUACCUGUGUUCAUAACCACUGACUGGUGCAGGAAAGCCUGCACUUUCACUGAUGUGAAAGCCCAGCUCCCUCACUGCAGUGGAACAAAACUAUAAAGUGUAAUUUCCCCUUCAGAACUCACCUCUGCAUCAGGCUGAGGCUGGGACAUGGCCAGCAUCAAAGCCUUGCUUGGCAUCUUCCUCUUCCUUUACUUCUUUUCUGCAUUCCUUUAAUUGUUUCUCCUGGGAGCACUUCCUUAAUAAAUCAUUUGCACAUUGCUUCUGUCUCAAAAUUUGUUUUCGGGAACCCAACCUAAGAAACCAACCAUCCCUGAUAAACCAUGCUGCCAUGUGCAGCCUAAAAUUGGGAUACACAUCCUAAAAUUGGGAUACACAUCCUAAAAUUGGGAUACACACCAGAAAAAAAACUUCGUUGAAACAUUGCUAAUAGGGGCCUUUGGCCUUGAAUCCAUGACUGCAAAAAUACUUCUCUAAUGUGGGCAGGGAGGGGAAUGAAGAGACAGAGCAAUGCUGCUUAGAGCUUUGCCCUUGACACAAAAACAGGAGCUGCCAGGGAAACAACCACUGCAAUCAUUUGUGCUUCAUGAGGAGCAGCCACCAGGGGCUGUUGGUUGUGAUUCUGUUCUUCUUGCUAUGGAAUGAUCCUGGAUCUCUGUUUGUUUGUUUGUUUUUUGUUUGUUUGUUUUUAAGAGUCUUGUGCUGUCGCCCAGACUGGAGUGCAGUGGCGGGAUCUCAGCUCACUGCAACCCCUGCCUCCUGGGUUCAAGCGAUUCUCCUGCCUCAGCCUCCCGAGUAGCUGGAAUUACAGGCGCCCACCACCAUGCCUGGCUAAUUUUUGUAUUUUUAGUAGAGACAGGGUUCGCCAUGUUGGCCAGGCUGGUCUCGAACUUCUGACCUCAAGCGAUCUGCCCACCUCGGCCUCCCAAAGUGCUGAGAUUACAGGCUUGAGCGCCCGGCUUUGGAUGUCUGUUUUAACUUCCUCUUCAGUUGAAGGAGAUUGGCAAUCCCAAAACAAAGAUACUUCACCAAUCCAAACAAGUUUGUAAAAACCCACUGCCUCCUGAAGUCUUUGGCACUCACUUGGCUAUAACUAUAAUUUUCUCAUUCAUCAUCUCACCAGACUAAGAAAACAAUGCUAUUCUUUGACCCAGCAACAUGCUAAGAACUUGUGUGUCUUUUCUUGUCAGUUAUGCUCACAUGGGACUCACAGUUACUGGAAGACAUAACAUGAAAUAUAGACAAUUUCAGAUGAGCAAAAGCUGAGAGAAUUCAUUUUCAUCAGAUUUGCACUACAAUAAGCACUAAAGAUUGUUCAUCAGGCUGAAAGGCAAAGAUAUCCAGUGACGGCACUCCUUGGUAUUUACCCAAAGGAGUUGAAAACGUAUGUCCACAUAAAACCCUGCACAGAUAUUUAUAGCAGUUUUAUUCAUAACUGCCAAAACUUGGAAGCAACCAAGAUGUCCUUCAGUAGGUGAAUGGAUAAAUAAAUUAUGGUACAUUCUACAGAAAGGAAUGAAGAACAUCUUAUAUGGGCUAAUAUAAAAGCCUAUAUUUUUUUAAUUUUAAAAAUAAUUUCUUUAAAAAACAACUGACCAAACAAAAACAAUAAUAAUUUAUUGUAAGAUUUAAAACAUGUAAGGCCAGGCACAGUGGCUCAUGCCUGUAAUCUCAGCACUUUGGGAGUUUGAGGCAGAAGAAUCACUUGAGCCUAGGAAUUUGAGACCAGUCUGGGCAACGUGGUUAGACUCCCUCUCUACAAAAAAUACAAACAAAUUAGACUGGCAUGGUGAUGUGUACCUGUAGUCUCAGCUACCUAGGAGGCUGAGGUGGGAGAAUCACCUGAGCCUGGGAAGUUGAGGCUGCAGUGAGCCGUGAUUGUACCAUUGCACACCAGCCUGGGCAAUAAAAUGAGACUCUAUCUCAAAAAUAAAUAAAAAUAAAACAUGUAAAAGUAAAAUAUAUGACAAUAAUAGCAGAAGGACAGGUAGGGUAAAUGAAAUUAUUCUCUCUUUAGGUUAUACAUUUUAUGGAUAAAUUAAUUCUAAGCAAAAUGUAAUAAAUUAAGAAUGUAGGCCGGGCACAGUGGCUUAUGCCUGUAAUCCCAGCACUUUGGGAGGCCGAGGCGGGCAGAUCACGAGGUCAAGAGAUCAAGACCAUCCUGGCCAACAUGGUGAAACCCCGUCUCUACUAAAAAUACAAAAAAUUAGCUGGACGUGGUGGUGUGCACCUGUAGUCCCAGCUACUUGGGAGGCUGAGGCGGGAGAAUCACUUGAACCCAGGACAUGGAGGUUGCAGUGAGCAGAGAUUGCAUCACUGCACUCUAGCCUGGUGACAGAGCGAGACUCUGUCUCAAAUAAGUAAAUAAAUAAAUAAAUAA
rnacentral:lncRNA from 1 species